GGCCGGCGGAAGAACAAAUGGACGCGGGUUCUGAAAAAUCCUUCGCAUUCCACGUUUCUUUCAUUCCGUGAGCGAGUCUUCGAGAUUUCUCGCAGAGAGAAAUUUUGAUGCUCGAGUCGAAGAAAUGAUUUCACUCUCUCUUCGAAGUCCGAACUCGUCCGUAAGGCGAUAUCAUCCACAGCGUAAAGCUCUCUCUUCUGGUGAAGGUUUCGCCUGAAGUUGAACACUGAAGUUCAUUUCUACAAAUGCUGAGUGGCUGAUCGGCGUUCUCUUCUCAGUUGUUUGGUUCCAUUGAAGCGGACCUUGAUUCUACUCAAAGCAAUCUGCCAAAAGUCCGAUCAGACCGCGAGGGAAUCUGCCGGAUGGAAAUCGUACUAGUGCAGGAGUACGCUGCUGAUUGGAACUACAGAUGCGAAGAAGCUGUCAAUCUUGUCCUCACUUAUCUGGAUCAUCUCCUCUUUUUUUUGAGAAUGUUAUAGGGAUACAAAUGGAUCCCACUGCGUGAGCGUUUCGAACCUAAUGGCUUUGUCCGCACAUAGGCGUCUUCUGUGGAGAGAUGUAGUCAUGCACGGAUUGUGAUGCUGCGUGUCGAAUCUAUGUGCAGCAUGUAGUGAUUCUGUAAUUGGAUUCCAACCAUGUUGAUACUGAGUGCAGGACGAGUCAAUGUGCAUCGAGACUCUUUCCUCCUCCAAUCUGACCAUUCUAUUUUUUCUCAAGAUCAGCUGAAAUAUGGAUGUCUUCCAACUUCAAGAUUCAUAACCAAAAGGAAUUUCAUUAACCAAAAUGUGACUCGUUUUAGGAUGCAUCAAGCAUUGAAGUUGCAGAAUGGCGAGAUAUCAGAGUUAAGGUAUAUGCCCACUGCAAUUCAUUUUGACUACAAGAUCUGGAUGCUUUAUUUCGCAGAUUUAGUCCGCUGUUUUAUUGUCCACUGCGGAAGCAUGAUCUUCAUGUCAAACAAAGGGAUCGAUGGAGUUCAUUCGUGGCAUAUAUCUACUGACAACAUUUGGGGUGUUCUAUUCUUUUUUUGUGGUUUUGAUAUAUAUGGUUCGCUCAUGUGACAAUGUAACAAAUAGUCAAGGUAGCAAUGGUUUCAUCAUUUGCCGAUGAACUGAUGAUUUAAACGCCAAGGCCAGACUGAAGAUUACUCCUUUCAGAAGCGAGAAAAGGUUCUGAGAGGGCGUGCUUCUGUAACUGAAAUCUGAAAUGCCUCUGAAACUGAAAGCAGAAAUGCCUCUGAAACUGGAAAAACUGGAAGGAAGUCUUCAAAUGACACUGGAGGAAUGAUCUUAGACUCAUAAAAACUGUAGUGUCAGUGGAACUGCCACGUUGGUAGUGCAAGCAGUGAUGAAAUCGAUAUCCCACCAAAAAACACGAUCACUGUCAUCGGCGAAGCUGAUCCUGUGAAGGUCAUCAAGAAGGUGAGAAAGUUCAGAAAAUAUGCUGCAAUUUUGAGUGUAGGGCCUGCAAAAGAGGAGAAGAAAGAUGGGAAGAAGGAGAGCAAAAAUGUCAUAAGUCUUCUCCCAAAGACAUGUUGCAAGUGCGAUGUCUGAUGUGUUAUCACCAAAGAUGCUUAUAGUUACAGCUCCACUAUGUGUUUAGGAAAUUAGAUAUGGGUUUAAUUUAUGGGUAAUUUCUUAUCUAUCUACAUUGGCAA